GCGGCCCUGUGGGGACAGAGGGACAGAUGUGAUGACCGGCCCCUGAGCACCUUCCCUCGUCCGUCCUGUGCUCCUGAGACUUGGUUCCUGGACCAGAUCAACAUCCGUCCGAGGAAGGACACCAGCCCGUCUCAGAAUCCUCCCUCCCAGCCCAGCUCCUCCGCAGAGCCCUGGGUGAAGAGCUCGGGAGACGAGGCCGCCCCGAGCUCUCAGCAAGCCUGGGGGGGAGGUUAAGGUGACAGCCCUUGACGAAUGCGCUGUGACCUGCUGCGGCCCGCCGGCCCGGGCGUGGGUCGUGGGAGUCCUGUGGUGACUCCACUUUCCUGUCAAACAGCUGCUGCUUGAAGCCACAUGACCUUAGUUUUCCUUUCAGUUGUCAUUUUAAAAAAUGUUAGUGGUGCCCCUUCCAAAAGCCAUACAUUAACAGAGCUGCUGGCAGGAAAAAAGGGCGUUACGUACGCAGCAGGCCGGGGUGAGGGGGCGCUCAGUGACCACGCACACACGCGAGGUUCAAAAACCAGACGCCGUGCAAUGCCUGAAACAGAGGGCACGUGACAAGGGCCCAUCCAACGAAAAGCUGUAUUUUAUCUCCCUCUUAAAUUUUUAUCUGAAGUACCCUGACUCAUCUGUGGCCACCCCACCCUGAACACACCCGCACUCGUCUGAAGUAACAGGAUGACGUCAGCGGCAUGUGUAAACCCAGCGAUUCUGUACUGAGUCACCACAGAACGUGGCUGCAUCCUGCACCUUCUCCCUUAAAUUUGUCCGCUGAAAGCCUGAUCAGCGCUCACUCAGGGGCAGAGACAGCAGCGCCUGGAGCACCCAGACGAUGUGCCCAGGGGCUGUGGGUCCCCGGCUUUCUCCACCCCGUCACUGCAGGGCAGCCAAGUGGAAGAUUCUCUCCUCUGUCCACUCCUCCCACGGCCGGACACCGAGCAGAUGGAAGCCUGGAUUCCCACCACGGCCAAUGACGUGGCAGACGGACCACUGACACCUGUCCCAGGUCAAAGCAAGUGCUCCAGGCCGGUGAUUUACGCGAAGGAGAGCAUGGACUCCCCCGUUCACGGAACCUCCCUUGUGGCGCAUGGAUCUUCAGGAAAGCUGGCACGCGUCCACACGGUGCAGCUUGGGGACACAUCAGAUGCACCCCAGCCCUCCCACGCCUGAGCACAAGAUGGGCCGCCCAGCAACACAGCACAACAAACAAAAGCGCAUCCUCAGCCCUCCUUCCCCUGGCUGGUGCAGGGUGUAAACACGCAGAGACCAUCGCCCCUGCUGCACACGGCCACCUGCCUGGUCCGCCCCCGUCAGAACCUUCCCACGUGUGAAGUGCAUCAUCGGGAAGAAACGAGACUCAGACUCAAAACGUGCGUCCUCCUGUCCCACAAACCACCUGCUCCUGCGACAGUUCCCAGCAUCCACCGGGAAAACGCCUCGCCAUGAACCGCGGGCUCCGGGACGGCCGAGCCGGUGAGGACACGGUGAGUCCCAGCUCCGCCCUACCCGGCCUCCCCAGAGCGCGAGCUUGCUGAGGUCCCCACUGUGUUCUUAAAAGGCAGAAAACUGAAAAUUGGAAUGUGUCAAUAAUAGUCAAGGACACACACUAAAAAUACAAUAAAAAGAGAACGUUCCACAUUUGUUCCCUCAGAUACACCAAACAUGAGCACAAAUACUCAUAUUAAAAUGUAACUUUUUAGCAAAGGUAGUGAUUUUGACUUUUUCAAGAUGACGGUCCUGUAUUCACUGACUGAAGGAGCAUCAGCGUGGAAACUGUUCCCCGUCAGUGGUCUGCGGUGCUGGACCACGACCCGACUCGUGGGUAAGGCUGUUUCCAUCUCAUCUUAGUGUCUUUGCAGAAACGUAACUUUACGUGACCAUGUGACCUUAGGAUAAACACUGUACAAACUUCUGCAAGUUUGUAAGCUUUGCUAAAAUUACCUGUAUCAUUUUCUAACACAGUAUUUCCUUCAAAAGAAAUUUUAAAAUAUGGAAUGAUAAAUAGAUUGGAGAUUUUUAAAAUGAUGACUCCUGAACAAUCUUCACUCGUGAAUAAUAAAAUCGUUAGCUUGGCUUUCCUUUUCUGAAAAGUGU